rnacentral:rRNA from 1 species
ACGGAAGGCAGCAGUGGGGAAUAUUGGGCAAUGGGCGAAAGCCUGACCCAGCAACGCCGCGUGAAGGAAGAAGGCCUUCGGGUUGUAAACUUCUUUUAUCAGGGACGAAGAAAGUGACGGUACCUGAUGAAUAAGCCACGGCUAACUACGUGCCAGCAGCCGCGGUAAUACGUAGGUGGCGAGCGUUAUCCGGAUUUACUGGGUGUAAAGGGCGCGUAGGCGGGGAUGCAAGUCAGAUGUGAAAUCCAUGGGCUUAACCCAUGAACUGCAUUUGAAACUGCUGAUCUUGAGUAUCGGAGAGGCAAUCGGAAUUCCUAGUGUAGCGGUGAAAUGCGUAGAUAUUAGGAGGAACACCAGUGGCGAAGGCGGAUUGCUGGACGACAACUGACGGUGAGGCGCGAAAGCGUGGGGAGCAAACAGGAUUAGAUACCCUGGUA